GCUGGGGUUGUUUUUGGUAAGAGUGAGUGCCUAGCAUGCACAAGGUCCUGGGUUCAAUCCCCAGCAACAGUA
rnacentral:tRNA from 1 species